rnacentral:lncRNA from 1 species
CUAUUUUUAUGACCCUUGCCAUAACUGAGCCAGAACACUAUAGAUUGCUAAUGCAUUUAUGGCCUGCCUCUACAAGUGGAAUUGUGGGAAGACUGUGGGGAGCAAGUGGUGAACAGAACCCAUCCUGUGUGAAGCCUAAGGCUGUUAAAAUGUCAGAUGAUAAAAACAACCAAGGGUUCCAGAUGGGGCAAUUGGAAGAGAAACAUGCUGAAGGCGAUAAUAAGAAAGUUCUGGAUUCUCUCAACUGGGAGUCCCGUGUCCUCACCUGGGACUUCCAAAUGCAAUCCUUGUUCAAGUCUUGUGCAAAGCAGCACGCUGUGAGGAAGUUCUUCAUUAUCAGGUGUUCCCUCAUUUGGCCAGGAGUGUUCAACCAAACCGUAGUAGGUCCAUGUCAUGAGGGGUUCAGAGGGAACAUCACAGAGCUCUUUGCUGUUGAGUGGGAGGCCAUGAAGAGUUUGGAGUCUGACUGUGGUGCUGAUACGUACGAUGGGUUGGUGGAAAGAGGAUGAGCCUGUGGGAGAUGCAACAUGGUGGUGCAUUUGAGAUAAGUUAAUAAUAACAGACACGUCAGCGUCAGUGGAUGUGCGACUUGCUUUGAGCUGGCAAGGAGAGAUGGGAACUUGAAUCAUUAUUGAUUUUCACUUUAAAGGUUUCUGCUAGCAAUUUAUUUAAAGGAAACAAUAAAGGUUGAUGCCAGAACUCUUCUUUUUGCUGG